rnacentral:rRNA from 1 species
AUUGAACGCUGGCGGCAGGCUUAACACAUGCAAGUCGAGCGGGGUGAUGGUGCUUGCACUAUCACUUAGCGGCGGACGGGUGAGUAAUGCUUAGGAAUCUGCCUAUUAGUGGGGACAACAUCUCGAAAGGGAUGCUAAUACCGCAUACGUCCUACGGGAGAAAGCAGGGGAUCACUUGUGACCUUGCGCUAAUAGAUGAGCCUAAGUCGGAUUAGCUAGUUGGUGGGGUAAAGGCCUACCAAGGCGACGAUCUGUAGCGGGUCUGAGAGGAUGAUCCGCCACACUGGGACUGGGACACGGCCCAGACUCCUACGGGAGGCAGCAGUGGGGAAUAUUGGACAAUGGGGGGAGCCCUGAUCCAGCCAUGCCGCGUGUGUGAAGAAGGCCUUAUGGUUGUAAAGCACUUUAAGCGAGGAGGAGGCUCUUUUGGUUAAUACCCAAGAUGAGUGGACGUUACUCGCAGAAUAAGCACCGGCUAACUCUGUGCCAGCAGCCGCAGUAA